rnacentral:rRNA from 1 species
CCUACGGGAGGCAGCAGUGAGGAAUAUUGGUCAAUGGGCGUAAGCCUGAACCAGCCAAGUCGCGUGAGGGAUGACGGUUCUAUGGAUCGUCAACCUCUUUUAUCAGGGAAUAAAGUGUGGGACGUGUCCUGUUUUGUAUGUACCUUAUGAAUAAGGAUCGGCUAACUCCGUGCCAGCAGCCGCGGUAAUACGGAGGAUCCGAGCGUUAUCCGGAUUUAUUGUGUUUAAAGGGUGCGUAGGCGGACUUUUAAGUCAGUGGUGAAAGUCUGUGGCUCAACCGUAGAAUUGUCGUUGAAACUGGGAGGCUUGAGUAGGUUUGAGGCAGGCGGAAUGCGUGGUGUAGCGGUGAAAUGCUUAGAUAUCACGCAGAACCCCGAUUGCGAAGGCAGCUUGCCAAGCCAUGACUGACGCUGAUGCACGAAAGCGUGGGGAUCAAACAGGAUUAGAUACCCUUGUAGUC